rnacentral:rRNA from 1 species
UCCAGUUUAUCCUGCUGGAGGUUGCAGCUAUUUGGUUUGGGCUUAGACAUGCAAGUCUGUCGCAAGACGGCGAACUGCUCAGUAACAUGUAGCUAACCUGCCCUUAGGUCAAGGAUAACCUCGGGAAACUGAGGCUAAUACUUGAUAGAAGAUUUGUUCUGGAAAGAAUUUUCUUUGAAACUCGAGCCUAAGGAUGGGGCUGCACCUGAUUAGCUUGUUGGUGGGGUAACUGCCUACCAAGGCAUUGAUCAGUAAGGGCUCUUAGCGGAGUUGCCCUGAGAAGGAAUCUGAGACACUAUUCCUAGCUCUACGGAGUGCAGCAGUCGCGAAUCUUUUACAAUGCACGAAAGUGUGAUAGAGCGAACCAAAGUGUUUUUCGCACAGAAAAACUUUUCUUUGUUGUAAAUAUACAGAGGAAUAAGGACUGGGUAAGACUGGUGCCAGCCGCCGCGGUAAUACCAGCAGUCCAAGUUGCAACCCUUUUUAUUGGGUCUAAAACAUCCGUAGCUUGUUUAAUAAGUUUCUUGUGAAAUCUUAUAUCUCAAAUAUAAGGCGGGCGAGAAAUACUGUUAAACUAGAGACCGGAAGAUGUGAAGAGUACUCUUGAGGUAGUGGUCAAAUACGUUAAUCUCAGGAGGACUAACAACUAGCGAAGGCACUUCACAAGUACGGAUCUGACAGUGAGGGAUGAAGCCAGGGGCGCAAAACGGAUUAGAUACCCGUGUAGUCCUGGCAGUAAACACUGCUCACUAAACAUUGGUCUCUCUUCGGGAGAAAUCAGUGCUGAAGCGAAGGCGAAGAGUGAGUUACCUGGGAAGUAUAGUCGCAAGGUCGAAACUUAAAGGAAUUGGCGGGGAGACACUACAACGAGUGACGCGUGCGGUUCAAUUAGAUUCCACACCGUGAACCUCACCAGGAGCGACAGCAGGAUGAAGGUCAGUCUAAAGGGCUUACCUGACACGCUGAGCGGAGAAGCAUGGCCGACGUCAGCCUGUGUUGUGAGAUGACCUGUUAAAUCAGGUAACAGGCGAGACCCACAUGUAUAAUUACUACAGAAAUGAGAACAUUAUACAGACUGCCUAUGUAAAUAGGAGGAAGGCGUGGGCUACGUCAGGUGAGUACAUCCCUAACCCCCUGGGCUACACGCGCGCGGCAAUGGUAGAUUCAACGAGAUGCAACUCUGAAAAGAGGAGCUAAUCCCCUAAUGUCUAUCUCAGUACAGAUUGAGGAUUGCAACCCAUCCUCAUGACGAUGGAAUUCGUAGUAAUCGUUUGUUAGCAACGAACGGUGAAUAUGUCCCUGUCUCUUGCACACACCGCCCGUCAAACCAACCGAGUUAUGGAGGGGUGAAACUCUUUUUUGAGGAGAACCCUUUCAUGACAAGGUAGGUUAAGUCGUCACAAGGU